GACGAACGCUGGCGGCGUGCUUAACACAUGCAAGUCGAACGGAAAGGCCCUGCUUUUGUGGGGUGCUCGAGUGGCGAACGGGUGAGUAACACGUGAGUAACCUGCCCUUGACUUUGGGAUAACUUCAGGAAACUGGGGCUAAUACCGGAUAGGAGCUCCCGCUGCAUGGUGGGGGUUGGAAAGUUUCGGCGGUUGGGGAUGGACUCGCGGCUUAUCAGCUUGUUGAUGGGGUAGUGGCUUACCAAGGCUUUGACGGGUAGCCGGCCUGAGAGGGUGACCGGCCACAUUGGGACUGAGAUACGGCCCAGACUCCUACGGGAGGCAGCAGUGGGGAAUAUUGCACAAUGGGCGGAAGCCUGAUGCAGCAACGCCGCGUGCGGGAUGACGGCCUUCGGGUUGUAAACCGCUUUCGCCUGUGACGAAGCGUGAGUGACGGUAAUGGGUAAAGAAGCACCGGCUAACUACGUG
rnacentral:rRNA from 1 species